rnacentral:rRNA from 1 species
AUUGAACGCUGGCGGCAGGCCUAACACAUGCAAGUCGAGCGGAUGAAGGGAGCUUGCUCCUGGAUUCAGCGGCGGACGGGUGAGUAAUGCCUAGGAAUCUGCCUGGUAGUGGGGGAUAACGUCCGGAAACGGGCGCUAAUACCGCAUACGUCCUGAGGGAGAAAGUGGGGGAUCUUCGGACCUCACGCUAUCAGAUGAGCCUAGGUCGGAUUAGCUAGUUGGUGGGGUAAAGGCCUACCAAGGCGACGAUCCGUAACUGGUCUGAGAGGAUGAUCAGUCACACUGGGACUGGGACACGGUCCAGACUCCUACGGGAGGCAGCAGUGGGGAAUAUUGGACAAUGGGCGAAAGCCUGAUCCAGCCAUGCCGCGUGUGUGAAGAAGGUCUUCGGAUUGUAAAGCACUUUAAGUUGGGAGGAAGGGCAGUAAGUUAAUACCUUGCUGUUUUGACGUUACCAACAGAAUAAGCACCGGCUAACUUCGUG